AUUGAACGCUGGCGGUAUGCUUAACACAUGCAAGUCGAACGGCAGCACGGGAGCAAUCCUGGUGGCGAGUGGCGAACGGGUGAGUAACAUAUCGGAACGUGCCCAGUGAUGGGGGAUAGCCCGGCGAAAGCCGGAUUAAUACCGCAUACGACCUACGGGUGAAAGCAGGGGAUCGCAAGACCUUGCGUCAUUGGAGCGGCCGAUAUCAGAUUAGCUUGUUGGUGGGGUAAAAGCCUACCAAGGCGACGAUCUGUAGCUGGUCUGAGAGGACGACCAGCCACACUGGGACUGAGACACGGCCCAGACUCCUACGGGUGGCUG
rnacentral:rRNA from 1 species